UGGGGAAUUUUGCACAAUGGGGGAAACCCUGAUGCAGCGACGCCGCGUGAUUUAGAAGGCCUUCGGGUUGUAAAAAUCUUUUCUAUGGGAAGAAAAUGACAGUACCAUAGGAAUAAGGACCGGCUAAUUACGUGCCAGCAGCCGCGGUAAUACGUAAGGUCCGAGCGUUGUCCGGAAUCAUUGGGCGUAAAGGGUACGUAGGCGGGUAAGCAAGUUAGAAGUGAAAUCCUAUAGCUCAACGAUAGUAAGCUUUUAAAACUGCUCAUCUUGAGGUAUGGAAGGGAAAGUGGAAUUCCUAGUGUAGCGGUGAAAUGCGCAGAUAUUAGGAGGAAUACCGGUGGCGAAGGCGACUUUCUGGCCAUAACCUGACGCUGAGGUACGAAAGCGGGGGUAGCAAACAGG
rnacentral:rRNA from 1 species